AGAGUUUGAUCCUGGCUCAGAUUGAACGCUAGCGGGAUGCUUUACACAUGCAAGUCGAACGGCAGCGCGGACUUCGGUCUGGCGGCGAGUGGCGAACGGGUGAGUAAUGUAUCGGAACGUGCCCAGUAGCGGGGGAUAACUACGCGAAAGCGUGGCUAAUACCGCAUACGCCCUUAUGGGGAAAGCGGGGGACCUCCGGGCCUCGCACUAUUGGAGCGGCCGAUAUCGGAUUAGCUAGUUGGUGGGGUAAAGGCUCACCAAGGCGACGAUCCGUAGCUGGUUUGAGAGGACGACCAGCCACACUGGGACUGAGACACGGCCCAGACUCCUACGGGAGGCAGCAGUGGGGAAUUUUGGACAAUGGGGGCAACCCUGAUCCAGCCAUCCCGCGUGUGCGAUGAAGGCCUUCGGGUUGUAAAGCACUUUUGGCAGGAAAGAAACGGCUCUGGAUAAUACCUGGAGUCACUGACGGUACCUGCAGAAUAAGCACCGGCUAACUACGUGCCAGCAGCCGCGGUAAUAC
rnacentral:rRNA from 1 species